AGAGUUUGAUCAUGGCUCAGAACGAACGUUGGCGGCGUGGAUUAGGCAUGCAAGUCGAACGAAUCCCAGCCUUGUAGCAAUACCGGGCUGGGGGAAGUGGCGAAAGGGGCAGUAAGGCGUGGGUAACCUACCCCGGGGACGUGGAUAGCCAUUCUAACGAGUGGGUAAUACACGGCGAGUCAGCGAGGAGGCAUCUUCUUGCUGAGAAAUGAAUCUCGCCUCGGGAGGGGCUCACGUGAUAUUAGCUUGUUGGUGAGGUAACGGCUCACCAAGGCUAAGAUGUCUAGCGGGUGUGAGAGCACGACCCGCGCCACUGGCACUGAGACACUGGCCAGACACCUACGGGUGGCUGCAGUCGAGGAUCUUUGGCAAUGGGCGCAAGCCUGACCAAGCGACGCCGCGUGUGCGAUGAAGGCCUUCGGGUUGUAAAGCACUGUCGAGGGGGAUAAAGCCGCAAGGUUGAUUGAUCCCUGGAGGAAGCACGGGCUAAGUUCGUGCCAGCAGCCGCGGUAAGACGAACCGUGCGAACGUUGUUCGGAAUCACUGGGCUUAAAGGGCGCGUAGGCGGCCGACCAAGUCCGGGGUGAAAGCCCCCAGCUCAACUGGGGAAGUGCCUUGGAAACUGGUUGGCUCGAGGGAGGUAGGGGCCCGCGGAACUUCUGGUGGAGCGGUGAAAUGCGUUGAUAUCAGAAGGAACGCCGGUGGCGAAAGCGGCGGGCUGGAUCUCUACUGACGCUGAGGCGCGAAAGCUAGGGGAGCAAACGGGAUUAGAUACCCCAGUAGUCC
rnacentral:rRNA from 1 species